rnacentral:rRNA from 1 species
UCGAACUAUGACGCGUUUAUUAGUUUGAACCCGCCUUGGCUUUCGGUGAUUCAUAAUAAACUGGCGAAUCGCAUUUAGCGAUGGACCAUUCAAGUUUCUGACCCAUCAGCUUGACGGUAGGGUAUUGGCCUACCGAGGCAGCAACGGGUAACGGGGAAUUAGGGUUCGAUUCCGGACAGGGAGCCUGAGAGACGGCUACCACAUCUAAGGAAGGCAGCAGGCGCGCAAAUUACCCAAUCCUGACACAGGGAGGCAGUGACAAGAAAUAACAAUCCAAUUGUAAUGUCUUGUAAUUGGAAUGACGCCGACCCACACCCUCCCCAAAAUAACCCUUGGAUGGCAAUUUUGUGGCCCUCCCCCCCUGUAAUUCCAGC